rnacentral:rRNA from 1 species
GAUGAACGCUGGCGGCGUGCCUAACACAUGCAAGUCGAACGGUGAAGGCGGAGCUUGCUCUGCUUGAUCAGUGGCGAACGGGUGAGUAACACGUGAGCAAUCUGCCCCUGACUCUGGGAUAAGCGCUGGAAACGGCGCCUAAUACUGGAUACGAGCUGCGAAGGCAUCUUCAGCAGCUGGAAAGAAUCUCUGUCAGGGAUGAGCUGGCGGCCUACGAGCUUGUUGGUGAGGUAAUGGCUCACCAAGGCGUCGACGGAUAGCCGGCCUGAGAGGGUGAACGGGCACAAGGGGACUGAGGCAGGGCGCAGACGGCUACGGGAGGCAACGGGGGGAAGUAUGGCACAGUGGGCGAGAGCCUGAUGCAGAGACGCCGCGUGAGGGACGACGGCCUUCGGGUUGUGAACCGCUUUUAGCAGGGAAGAAGCGAAAGUGACGGUACCUGCAGAAAAAGCGCCGGCUAACUACGUG